AGUUUUAAAAAUUCCUGUCUGUGGCCAUGCCCGAUCAUGUCUGAUCUCAGAAGCUGAGCAGGGUCGGGCCUGGUUAGUACUUAGAUGGGAGACCACCUAGGAAAACCAGGUACUGUAGGCA
rnacentral:rRNA from 1 species